rnacentral:tRNA from 1 species
GCUUCUAUAGCUUAAUCAGGUAAAGCAGUAGAGUGAAGUUCUAUCUAUAUAGGUUCAAUUCCUUUUAGGGGCA